rnacentral:rRNA from 1 species
AUUGAACGCUGGCGGCAGGCCUAACACAUGCAAGUCGAACGAGUGGCGGCCGGGUGAGUAAUGUCUGGGAACCUGCCCGAUGGAGGGGGAUAACUACUGGAAACGGUAGCUAAUGCCGCAUACCAUCGUAUGUGCCCAGAUGGGUUUAGCUAGUAGGUGGGGUAACGGCUCAACUAGGAGACGCUGCCUAGCUGGUCUGAGAGGGUGACCAGCAACACUGGAACUGAGACACGGUCCAGACUCCUACGGGAGGCAGCAGUGGGGAAUAUUGCACAAUGGGCGAAAGUCUGACAGAGCAAUGCCGCGUGUGUGAAGAAGGUCUUCGGAUCGGAAAACACUGUGAUCUGAGAGGCGGUACUUGCAGAGGAAGCAACGGCUAACUCCGUGCCAGCAGCCGCGGUAAUUC